AGGGGAAGUACGGUCUCCCCUUGAGGCUUCGGUCCAAGAACUGU
rnacentral:ncRNA from 1 species